rnacentral:tRNA from 1 species
AAAUAAGAAGCAAUAUUUGCAUUUAGUUUCGACCUAAAAAUUUGAUUAAUUAUAAAUCCUUAUUUA